rnacentral:rRNA from 1 species
GGGUCAGGAGGUUGGUCGUGCCACCGGUACGUACUGGUCUCACUGAUUCCUCCUUCCUGAAGAACCGUAAUGCCAUUAAUUUGGUGUUGCGGGGAAACAGGACUGUUACUUUGAAAAAAUUAGAGUGUUUAAAGCAAGCUAACGCUUGAAUACAUUAGCAUGGAAUAAUGGAAUAGGACGAUCGAUCCUAUUUUGUUGGUUUCUAGGAUUGACGUA